UGUGGCCAGGUGAAUCUCAGAGCCAGGUGAGAGUGAUGGUAACCCUCUCUCUGUGGCCAGGUGAAUCUCAGAGCCAGGUGAGAGUGAUGGUAACCCUCUCUCUGUGGCCAAAUGAAUCUCAGAGCCAGGUGAGAGUGAUGGUAACCCUCUCUCUGUGGCCAGGUGAAUCUCAGAGCCAGGUGAGAGUGUUGGGAACCCUCUCUCUGUGGCCAGGUGGAUCUCAGAGCCAGGUGAGAGUGUUGGGAACCCUCUCUCUGUGGCCAGGUGGAUCUCAGAGCCAGGUGAGAGUGUUGGUAACCCUCUCUCUGUGGCCAGGUGGAUCUCAGAGCCAGGUGAGAGUGAUGGUAACCCUCUCUCUGUGGCCAGGUAAAUCUCAGAGCCAGGUGAGAGUGAUGGUAAACCUCUCUCUGUGGCCAGGUGAGAGUGAUGGUAACCCUCUCUCUGUGGCCAGGUGAAUCUCAGAGCCAGGUGAGAGUGAUGGUAACCCUCUCUCUGUGGCCAGGUGGAUCUCAGAGCCAGGUGAGAGUGUUGGUAACCCUCUCUCUGUGGCCAGGUGGAUCUCAGAGCCAGGUGAGAGUGAUGGUAACCCUCUCUCUGUGGCCAGGUGGAUCUCAGAGCCAGGUGAGAGUGAUGGUAACCCUCUCUCUGUGGCCAGGUGAAUCUCAGAGCCAGGUGAGAGUGAUGGUAAACCUCUCUCUGUGGCCAGGUGGAUCUCAGAGCCAGGUGAGAGUGAUGGUAACCCUCUCUCUGUGGCCAGGUGAAUCUCAGAGCCAGGUGAGAGUGAUGGUAAACCUCUCUCUGUGGCCAGGUGAAUCUCAGAGCCAGGUGAGAGUGAUGGUAACCCUCUCUCUGUGGCCAGGUGAAUCUCAGAGCCAGGUGAGAGUGAUGGUAAACUUCUACUCAGAAUUCCACAGACUGACUUAGGUCUCCCUGUGUCCAUAGCAACGCUCCACCCAUGCCCCCUGGCAGGAAGCUCAGCCAUCGCCACAGCAACCUCCAAUUGAACGACACUCUGGACAAAGUGGUUGACAGCAGCAACAUCUACGGCAUCUCAGCCAUAGAUGGUGUUCCCUUCACUCUGCACCCCAAGUUCAAGACCCAAACCAACGGCACGACCCCAACAAACACUCUGAACAACAUUCGCAUCAAGUCUGUCCAGGACAUUGAAAAUGAGUACAACUACACUUUCACCGUGGAGGAAAACGCAGCCAAGAGAACCAGACCUCUCACCCCAGGAAGCACCUCUUAAGCUCAAUGACCUUUCAACUCCGACCUCAACAACGGCGGCCUGCUCGACCCACAACACUACGGGGUUCAAUGUGAUAUGUCGGGGUCAUGAAAUGAUAAUCAAUGUCCAAGUGCCUAGAAGAUGACUGACUAGAACAGAAGUGUCAUUCUGCAUUCCAGAGUUCCUUCACAACUCCAUUGUACCGACAUUCUUAUUCCGUGUUCUAAACUCUCACACAUGUCAUUCUCACGCCCCGUAUAUGGGACCAGUUAUAUAUGUUAGAGAUGACUCUUUGAGGGAGAAGAGAACGUUGUCUGGCAGGGUAUGCUUGUUUCUCUUGUUAGAAUAAUGGAAGGAACCUGUUGUGGUGGACCUGUUAACGUCAGGCUAUGGAUCUUCUUCUUUAUUGGGAUGUUUAGGGACCAAACUAAAUGUUGUUACACUUUCAAUGUAAAUAAUGUUACUGGUAUGUCUCUGUGGUGAAACAUGGGUCAUUUCAUGGUUUAAAAAGAAUAAGGAAGUAUGGUUACCUGUAACUGGUCGUAUCUGUAUAUUGUGUCUCGCAUGCAAGUAUAAACAAAUAAAAUACCAAAUCAUUUGACGUGUGUACCGUUCUUAAAUGGUUUGUUAUUAAGGAAAGUUUGAUAUCUGUCACAGGGAGAUUAAACAUGUAAACACAGCGACUGCUGACACUUACGCUCGGACUGAUAGACACACCCACUUUUCUGCACGUUCAAACAGGUGAUAGGAGAUUUGUUUCCGUGUAUAACCCAUAACACAAUCUGAACCUCAGAGUCUGUAGCUUUCACCUGUAUCCACACUAGGUGCACCAGUCGACGGAAAAUUCAGGUUUUGGGGAUUCAACUCGAUCCGGAGUCAGGUGGAUAGAAGAUCCUGCAACCACUUUGUCAAUUUAAAUGCAAAACAAAGAUUUGGGGGAGAGAGAUACGAUGACCCAUUCCCCUGGCUGUAAGUAUUGAUCGGUCCCGUUAACAGUAAGUAUUGAUUGGUUCCCUCUACAUAUAUUUAGUGGUGCCCUCUCCACUUGACAUCCAUGUCACCAGUCAGAUCUGAACCCUCCCGCAUAGAAAACCAACACCUUAACCAUUAGGCCAAGAGGACAUUCUGUCUCAAGCUGAGGGUGACACGUAUUUUAUACCUCAGGUAGUACCUCAUCAGAAGAGCUUGAGUCUGACUCACCUCCAUUACAUACAGGGAGGAUAACCAAGGAAAAGACAUGUCUUUUAAAGCUUGUUGUCUGUAACGGUCUUUUUCAGUAUCUGGUCUGGGGAUCAUUCAGCUGGGGAAGACUGGAGCAGGGAUGAGUGCAACAGGAAACACCAAAGAGGUGUUUAUAGAAGAGUUCUCUUCUGAGUCUGUGACCACACAAUGUGAGGAUGUCCAGAGGAUGAAGAGUACAGCUUCAGACACUACUGAAACAGCAGGA